rfam:Ipomoea nil DNA, scaffold: scaffold0268, cultivar: Tokyo-kokei standard.
GGGUCGAUGCCCGAUUGGUUAAUGGGGAUGGCCUGUAAAUUCGUUAGCAAUAUGUCUACGCUAGUUCAAAUCCAGCUCGGCCCA